rnacentral:rRNA from 1 species
GAUGAACGCUAGCGGCGUGCCUAAUACAUGCAAGUCGAGCGAACAGACGAGGAGCUUGCGCCUAUGACGUUAGCGACGGACGGGCGAGUAACAAGUGGAUAACGUACCUGUACGACAGGGAUGACUUCGGGAAACCGAAGAAAAUACCGGACAAUAUAUUGAAACGCUAGGCUCAUAAGAGAAAGAAGAUUUUGCUGUCACUUAUAGAUGGAUCCGCGCCGCAUUAGCUAGUUGGUAAGGUAACGGCUUACCAAGGCAACGAUGCGUAGCGGGCCUGAGAGGGUGGUCGGCCACACUGGAACUGACACACGGUCCAGACUCCUACGGGAGGCAGCAGUAGGUAAUCUUCCUCAAUGGGCGAAAGCUUGACGGAGCAACGCCGCGUGAGUGAUGAAGGUCUUCGGAUCUUAAAGUUCUCUUAUUAGGGAAGAACAAAUGUGUAAGUAACUAUGCUCUUCUUGACGGUACCUAAUCAGAAAGCCACGGCUAACUACGUG